GAUGAAGAACGCAGCAAAAUGCGAUAAGUAAUGUGAAUUGCAGAAUUCAGUGAAUCAUCGAAUCUUUGAACGCACAUUGCGCCCGCCAGUAUUCUGGCGGGCAUGCCUGUUCGAGCGUCAUUUCAACCAUCAAGCCCCCGGCUUGUGUUGGGGACCUGCGGCUGCCGCAGGCCCUGAAAAGCAGUGGCGGGCUCGCUGUCACACCGAGCGUAGUAGCAUACAUCUCGCUCUGGGCGUGCUGCGGGUUCCGGCCGUUAAACCACCUUCAUAACCCAAGGUUGACCUCGGAUCAGGUAGGAAGACCCGCUGAACUUAAGCAUAUCAAUAAGCGGAGGA
rnacentral:misc_RNA from 1 species